rnacentral:rRNA from 1 species
UGGGGAAUAUUGCACAAUGGGGGAAACCCUGAUGCAGCAACGCCGCGUGAGUGAUGAAGGUCUUCGGAUCGUAAAGCUCUGUCUUCAGGGACGAUAAUGACGGUACCUGAGGAGGAAGCCACGGCUAACUACGUGCCAGCAGCCGCGGUAAUACGUAGGUGGCGAGCGUUGUCCGGAUUUACUGGGCGUAAAGGGAGCGUAGGCGGUUUGAUAAGUUGGAUGUGAAAUACCCGGGCUUAACCUGGGGGGUGCAUCCAAUACUGUUGGACUAGAGUACAGGAGAGGAAAGCGGGAUUCCUAGUGUAGCGGUGAAAUGCAUAGAUAUUAGGAGGAACAUCGGUGGCGAAGGCGGCUUUCUGGACUGCAACUGACGCUGAGGCUCGAAAGCGUGGGGAGCAAACAGGAUUAGAUACCCUGGUAGU